AGUUCUGAGAACCGGCCUAGUUCAUAUUUCAUGUCACCUCCUGUGGCCAAGCCGCUCAGCCAGGCAGAACAUCUUGCUGAGGGCCCACAGAAUCAGGAAGGGUGUUAACUAGUGGGCUGUGAUGCGUGGGCACAGCCUGUUUCCCGACACUGUUUUUAAUUAAUUAGCCAUGACAGGCACCCAAUCUCUCCCCUCUGACUCUGGCCUCCCAUCCUGGGAUGCACCCCAGGUGUCCUGUCUGCACCUGGAGUGCCAGCGUGUCUCAGGGAAAUGCUGGUUUGUGAAGCCCCUGUCCUAUUCUUCCCCAACAUGGCGCAGAGAUUGUAAAUGCCAGACUCACAGCUUUCAAAAGCAGGAAGAGGAGACUUUGGGCAGGAUCACAGACAAAGGCAGCCAGGACAAGCCCAGGAGCCUGCAAGGGGGUUUUCCACACUGGUUAUAUAUGAAGGUCCUGCCUUCACCUCCAAAUAAAAAUGCAAUGACCAAAAGCUAGUAAGGGAUCAGUAACCAUUUUAGAUGAAUAAUGUCGAUUAACAUUUCAAGAGUGCGAUGGGCUACAUUGGAGACAAUGCCUUCAAAGAUGGGUUUAUUAUAAAAUGAGGUUUUUAGGGUGGUCCUAUUCCAACAGGAUGGCCCUAUUAGAAGAGGAAAUUUGGGGCAGGCAUGGUGGCUCAUGCCUGUAAUCCCAACACUUCGGGAGGCCAAGGAGGGCGGAUCACGAGGUCAAGAGAUCAAGACCAUCCUGGCCAACAUGGUGAAACUCCAUCUCUACUAAAAAUACAAAAUAUUAGCUGGGCGUAGUGGCACAGGCCUGUAGUCCCAGCUACUUCGGAGGCUGAGGCAGGAGAAUUGCUUGAACCCGGGAGGCGGAGGUUGCAGUGAACCGAGAUCCCACCAUUGCACUCCAGCCUGGGUGACAGAGCGAGACUCCGUCUCAAAAAAAAAAAGAAAAUUAAAAAGAAGAGUAAAUUUGGACACACAGAGAGACACGAAGGGCGCUGGG
rnacentral:lncRNA from 10 species